ensembl:lncRNA
UAGCUAGAAACAAUUUCACAAAGAGAACUACAAGCCAAAUUCCCCAAAACCAGACGAGCUACCCAAAAACAGCUAAAAGAGCGCACCCAUCUAUGUGGCAAAAUAGUGGGAAGAUUUCUGGGUAGAGGUGACAAGCCUACCGAGCCUGGUGAUAGCUGGUUAUCCAAGACAGAAUCUUAGUUCAACCUUAAGCUUACCUGCAGAACUACCUAAUCCCCCUGUAAGCUUAAUUGCUAGUCUAAAGAGGGACAGCUCUUUAGACACUAGGAAAAAACCUUACGGAGAGAGUAAAACCCCCAAUUACCAUAGUUGGCUUAAAAGCAGCCAUCAAUUAAGAAAGCGUUCAAGCUCAACACCAACCACCUCAAAAAUACCAAACACAUAACUGAACCCCUCACAACACAUUGGAUUAAUCUAUCACCCUAUAGAAGCAAUAAUGCUAGUAUAAGUAACAUGAAUAUUUUCUCCACUGCAUAAGCCUAAAUCGGACCGAAAGCCUCACCGAUACUUAACAGCCAGGCAUAGCAAGCACAAACAAGCCCAUGCUACCUUCACUGUUAACCCAACACAGGCAUGCCUCAAGGAAAGGUUAAAAAAAGUAAAAGGAACUCGGCAAACUCAAACCCCGCCUGUUUACCAAAAACAUCACCUCUAGCAUUACUAGUAUUAGAGGCACUGCCUACCCAGUGACACACGUUUAACGGCCGCGGUACCCUGACCGUGCAAAGGUAGCAUAAUCACUUGUUCUUUAAAUAGGGACUCGCAUGAAUGGCACCACGAGGGUUUAACUGUCUCUUACUUUUAACCAGUGAAAUUGACCUGUCCGUGAAGAGACGGACAUAAGAUAAUAAGACGAGAAGACCCUAUGGAGCUUUAAUCUAUUAAUGCAAUCAAAAACCAUACAAACGCACGGACCUUUAAACUACUACACCUGCAUUAAAAAUUUUGGUUGGGGCGACCUCGGAGCACAACAAAACCUCCGAACAACACAUGCUAAGACCACACAAGUCAAAGCGAGCUAACAUUCAUAAUUGAUCCAAUAAUUUGAUCAAAGGAACAAGUUACCCUAGGGAUAACAGCGCAAUUCUAUUCUAGAGUUCAUAUCGACAAUAGAGCUUACGACCUCGAUGUUGGAUCAGGACAUCCUAAUGGUGCAGCAGCUAUCAAGGGUUCGUUUGUUCAACGAUUAAAGUCCUACGUGAUCUGAGUUCAGACCGGAGCAAUCCAGGUCGGUUUCUAUCUAUUGUACAUUUCUCCCUGUACGAAAGGACAAGAGAAAUAAGGCCCACUUCAUAAAGCGCCUUCAUUACAUAAAUGACCUAGUCUCAAUUUAGCAAAGUAUCACACAUUCCACCCAAAAACAGGGUUUGUUAAGAUGGCAGAGCCCGGUAAUUGCAUAAAACUUAAAACUUUAUAACCAGAGGUUCAACUCCUCUUCUUAACAUCAUGACCACAGUAAACCUCUUACUUCUAAUUAUACCUACAUUAGCUGCCAUAGCAUUCCUCACACUCGUUGAAUGAAAGUUACUAGGCUACAUACAACUACGAAAGGGGCCCAAUGUUGUAGGUCCAUAUGGACUAUUACAACCCUUCGCUGAUGCAAUAAAACUUUUCACUAAAGAACCCCUAAAACCCUCAACAUCUACCACCACCCUCUAUAUUAUCGCACCCGCUCUAGCCUUCUUCAUCACCCUUCUCCUAUGAACCCCCCUCCCCAUACCCAACGCUCUAAUCAACUUCAACCUAGGACUCCUAUUCAUUCUAGCCAUGUUUAGCCUAAUUGUCUACUCCAUCCUAUGAUCAGGAUGAGCAUCAAACUCAAACUAUGCCCUAAUCGGAGCCCUACGAGCCGUCGCUCAAACAAUUUCAUACGAAGUCACCCUCACUAUUAUCCUACUAUCAGUCCUACUAAUAAGCUUAACCUUAAUACACUCAUUACAACGCAAGAACACCUAUGACUUCUCCUACCAUCAUGACCCCUAGCCAUAAUAUGAUUUACUUCCACGCUAGCAGAAACAAAUCGAACCCCCUUUGAUCUCAUAGAGGGCGAAUCAGAAUUAGUAUCAGGCUUUAACAUUGAAUACGCCGCAGGUCCAUUCGCCCUGUUCUUCAUAGCCGAAUACACAAACAUCAUCAUAAUAAACGCCCUAACAACCACAAUUUUCCUAGGCACAUUCUACCCCAUCCAUUCAGCAGAGCUAUUCACAACAUGCUUCACCACCAAAACACUCUUCCUAACUUCCCUAUUCCUAUGAAUCCGAGCAGCAUACCCCCGAUUCCGUUACGACCAACUUAUACACCUACUAUGAAAAAGUUUCCUCCCACUCACACUGGCACUACUCAUAUGAUCCACCUCAAUACCCAUCGCAAUUUCCAGCAUUCCCCC